rnacentral:rRNA from 1 species
UACGUAGGGGGCAAGCGUUGUCCGGAAUCAUUGGGCGUAAAGAGCGUGUAGGCGGCCCGAUAAGUCCGCCGUGAAAGUCCAGGGCUCAACCCUGGAAUGCCGGUGGAAACUGUCGGGCUGGAGUCCGGAAGAGGAGAGUGGAAUUCCUGGUGUAGCGGUGAAAUGCGCAGAUAUCAGGAAGAACACCCGUGGCGAAGGCGGCUCUCUGGUACGUGACUGACGCUGAGACGCGAAAGCGUGGGGAGCAAACAGG